rnacentral:lncRNA from 1 species
AUGUUUUUAAUGGGUCAGAGGAGUUCCUCUGUCUCUGGGAAAUGUCUCCAUUUAUGUUGUGGGUCUCUCCACAGGCAACAUUCAAAUUGGCUUGGUCAACUGAGACUCUGGCUAGAACUGACUUCCCCGCUGACCUGUCCUGCUUUAAGCCAUCAUUCCCUGGGACUAACUUGUAGGGUGGAGCCCUGUUGCACUCAUAUUGGAGAGGCUGGAGUCCAUCUUUGGACUUGAGGGACUUGGCUUCUAAGAAAACAAGGCAAAGGAAAGUUUUGUGAAAUUCCCCAAAUUGUAGGGUCACCUUAUAGAGCUGGCCUCUUUUAUUCUAUGGUGGUUGGUUCCAGGAGGACCCUCUCAUUUGGUCAGUGGAGCCAAAAGUUGAAGAAUUUUGUUGGAAAGUCGUUGAAGAAAAAGCCAUGUUUUCUUGACUUGUUGGUGAGAGUGCUGCCUGAAAUAUCUUGGAGUCAUGACAGGUGGGUAGAGACACAUUAUUCUUAGAGAUUUCAG